rnacentral:misc_RNA from 1 species
AAGAAAAUAAGUACUUGAAGGCCAUAUCAACAUUCCAGCGAGAGAAUCCAGCUUAAUGCACUAGAUUAAUAUGAUUAAGCACUUGAUUGCACGAAAUUUAAGUUCAAUAACUCAUGUAAAAAUUAAGUGAAAGUUCAAGCAUUGUUUGUGUUGCUUCCCCUCAAUAAACAAAUAACACAGCCAAGAACAAAGAAAAUAGAAUAAAUAUUCAUUUGCCAUGAAGUAGACAUGUACAAAUCGAUGCAAAUUCUGAAUAUGUAAAGAAAGGUCAGAUUCAAAAACUUUGAAAUAGGAAGAGUCAUUCUAUUUCUAGGACAAAAAAAAAUGUUCAAGUUGACUAAUCAUAGUUGGAUUUACUAGAUUGAGAAGUUAAGUUUAUUAAUUAAGUAAAUGCAGUCCUCCAUAAGGAAUCUCAAUAAUUUGUCGAUUAAAUUAAUCUUUGUUUUUAAAUUGAAUCAUUAAAUGGGAUCUUCAAUUAUAAGUCAAUGUUAGUUUCAAGGAACAUAUUUCUUAGUCAAUGCUAUUAAAGGUGACAAAAGGCGUCAGGCAAGGCGAGACGAGCCCCUGACAACUCGUUCGGCUAAGGCGAUGCAAUUGAGAAGAGGCGAGCGCCUGAUUUCUGAGAGGCGAGAGGCACUAGGGCGUUGUAGCAUCAACUCUUCAAAAUAAUGAAAA